rnacentral:rRNA from 1 species
GGAUGAACGCUGGCGGCGUGCUUAACCCAUGCAAGUCGAACGAGAAAUGUAGACGGCAACCUUCGGGCGGAAGCCUUCAUUUCGAGUGGCGGACGGGUGAGUAACGCGUGGGUAACCUGCCUCAUACAGGGGGAUAACAGUUGGAAACGACUGUUAAUACCGCAUAAGACCACAGCAUCGCAUGAUGCGGGGGUAAAAACUCCGGUGGUAUGAGAUGGACCCGCGUUCGAUUAGCCAGUUGGCGGGGUAACGGCCCACCAAAGCGACGAUCGAUAGCCGAUCUGAGAGGAUGACCGGCCACAUUGGGACUGAGACACGGCCCAAACUCCUACGGGAGGCAGCAGUGGGGAAUAUUGCACAAUGGGGGAAACCCUGAUGCAGCGACGCCGCGUGAGUGAAGAAGUACUUCGGUAUGUAAAGCUCUAUCAGCAGGGAAGAAAAUGACGGUACCUGAGUAAGAAGCCCCGGCUAACUACGUG